rnacentral:rRNA from 1 species
UACGAAGGGGGCGAGCGUUGUUCGGAUUUACUGGGCGUAAAGGGCGCGCAGGCGGCGAUCUUUGUCAGGCGUGAAAGCCCCGGGCUUAACCUGGGAACUGCGUCUGAUACUGGAAGGCUCGAGUUCGGGAGAGGAAUGUGGAAUUCCAGGUGUAGCGGUGAAAUGCGUAGAUAUCUGGAGGAACACCGGUGGCGAAGGCGGCAUUCUGGACCGAAACUGACGUUGAGGCGCGAAAGCCAGGGGAGCAAACGGG